rnacentral:lncRNA from 1 species
AUGACACAGCCACCCCUUCGGGCACAGGGGUGUGGCAGAGCUGAGAGAAAGGAGAGAGAGGGAGAGGCAGAGGGAGGGGAGAGAGAGAGAGGGAGCGGGAGAGAGGGAAGGAGAGGGAGAGAGAGGAAGAAGGAGAGGGAGAGAGAGAGAAGAAAGAGAGGGAGAGAGAGAGAAGAAAGAGAGGGAGAGAGAGAGAAGAAAGAGAGGGAGAGAGAGAGAAGAAAGAGAGGGAGGAAUGGAGGGAGGGAGAGGGAAGGAGGAGAGGGAGGGAGAGGGAGAAAGAGAGGGGGGGAGGGGGGGAGGCCUGGGGCUGACUCAGGAGGGGAGAGAAGGCAAAAACCUGUGGACAAUUCCCACAUUCCACGUCACACUCGUCCGUUUGACCAAACACGGGAAAGAAGAAGUGAAAUCUGUUCACUCUAUGGGGAUCCAUGCCGUUCACUUCAGGGGACAGUGCUGGUACCAAAUUAUCCCUGUUAUGCAAAUCUCCCCCCAGCCUUGGGUUCCCAGUGCGCCUGGGGACUGUGGUGGGUGCAUCUGCUUCCCCGGUGCCAACUCACUGACCCGCUGGGGCCUCGCCCGCGUGCCCUGGCUGAGGAGGAGGGUGCGGGGCCUGGCAGGGCCGGCUGGACUUGCUCCGUGAGCGCGAAGGCAAUGGUCCCGGGCACGGGCCGCCAGGCUCCCCAGACGUGGGGGACGGGUAGCCCGGGGGUGACGGAGGUCACGGCUCAUCUGCCCUCGGAGCUCAGUGGGAUUCUUCCUCCUGUCCCUUCCAAAGCACUGAUCGCACCCUGCUGGGCUCUGGGGCCCCGCCAAGGGAACGCAGCCCCCCCUGCUGAGGCCUCUUGUGGGCACUGCCCCUUUGACCGUCCCCCAGGCGCCCCUCUCACCCCUCGGUCAUUCAACCUGCCUAUGGGACCUGUUUCAGGAACUCGUUUUCAAGGAGGAAGACCCAGGGGGCAGCACUCAGAAGCUGAUCCUUUGUCCCCACAGGUGCGGCCUGCGUUCCCUCCCAGGGCCGCUGUGAAGGCUGGGGUGAGGCACAGCCCCGAGUGGGCAUGGCCACAUCACCGACUGGUGUCUCAGGGCCAUGGCCCCGUGUGUCUGAGCUCUAAGAUGGGCUUGAGGCUGGGUCUCUGGCUCACCUGGUGGCCAUGGAGAUGA